CCUAAGUUAGCUUAGUUGGUAGCGCGUCUGCCUUGUAAGCUUUAGGGCGCGGGUUUAAUUCCCGCGCCUUGGC
rnacentral:tRNA from 1 species